AAUAUUUUUCUAGUAUAUUUAGUACAUUUGACUUCCAAUCAAAAAGAUUGAUUCAUAUCAAGAAAAAUA
rnacentral:tRNA from 1 species